UCUAUUUAGUUGGUUUCUCUUUAAAAACUGUCAUAGGGUGCUGCGCGGUCGGCUGCACAAACAGACAAGUGUGGAAAAUCCAACUUGUCAUUUUAUUGUACAACUUUUAAUGAGGAAAGAUAAAAUGGCGAUGGAUAGCAGCCGUUUAAUAACAAUGACAGUCCGCCGUCAAUCAUAACGACUGGCAGCCCUCGGUGUAAUCACGGAUUUGCAGCGAACACUUUUUACAAGUUUUGCCGUUGACGCAGGCCUCCCCGAGGACAGUUACCAGACCAUCAGGCUUCAUCUUCAGAUACUCGACCAGCUGAACAGGCAGAGGAAGUUACAGUCAUUUAAAGGUCUUGAGCUUCUGCAGAAAUUAAAGGUUCCAGGUCUGCUUGACGUACUCCCUCAGCAUGUUCUCCCUCAUUUUGUCAAAAACGCCAACCUUUAUGGGCAUCUCCGGAGGACGCAGACAUGGCUUCUUCAGGAGACACACCAGCCCGUCGGGGU